GAUGAACGCUGGCGGCGUGCCUAAUACAUGCAAGUCGAGCGAACAGACGAGGAGCUUGCUCCUCUGACGUUAGCGGCGGACGGGUGAGUAACACGUGGAUAACCUACCUAUAAGACUGGGAUAACUUCGGGAAACCGGAGCUAAUACCGGAUAAUAUAUUGAACCGCAUGGUUCAAUAGUGAAAGACGGUUUUGCUGUCACUUAUAGAUGGAUCCGCGCCGCAUUAGCUAGUUGGUAAGGUAACGGCUUACCAAGGCAACGAUGCGUAGCCGACCUGAGAGGGUGAUCGGCCAAACUGGAACGGAGACACGGUCCAGACUCCAACGGGAGGCAGAAGUAGGGAAUCUUCCGCAAGGGGCGAAAGCCUGACGGAGCAACGCCGCGUGAGGGAUGAAGGUCUUCGGAUCGUAAAACUCUUUUAUUAGGGAAAAACAAAUGUGUAAGUAACUAUGCACGUUUUGACGGUACCAAAUCAGAAAGCCACGGCUAACUACG
rnacentral:rRNA from 1 species